AGUGGCGAGUCGGUGCGACGAC
rnacentral:siRNA from 1 species